GCCUAAUACAUGCAAGUCGAGCGAAUGGAUUGAGAGCUUGCUCUUAUGAAGUUAGCGGCGGACGGGUGAGUAACACGUGGGUAACCUGCCCAUAAGACUGGGAUAACUCCGGGAAACCGGGGCUAAUACCGGAUAAUAUUUUGAACUGCAUGGUUCGAAAUUGAAAGGCGGCNUUCGGCUGUCACUUAUGGAUGGACCCGCGUCGCAUUAGCUAGUUGGUGAGGUAACGGCUCACCAAGGCAACGAUGCGUAGCCGACCUGAGAGGGUGAUCGGCCACACUGGGACUGAGACACGGCCCAGACUCCUACGGGAGGCAGCAGUAGGGAAUCUUCCGCAAUGGACGAAAGUCUGACGGAGCAACGCCGCGUGAGUGAUGAAGGCUUUCGGGUCGUAAAACUCUGUUGUUAGGGAAGAACAAGUGCUAGUUGAAUAAGCUGGCACCUUGACGGUACCUAACCAGAAAGCCACGGCUAACUACGUGCCAGCAGCCGCGGUAAUACGUAGGUGGCAAGCGUUAUCCGGAAUUAUUNGGGCGUAAAGCGCGCGCAGGUGGUUUCUUAAGUCUGAUGUGAAAGCCCCCGGCUCAACCGUGGAGGGUCAUUGGAAACUGGGAGACUUGAGUGCAGAAGANGAAAGUGGAAUUCCAUGUGUAGCGGUGAAAUGCGUAGAGAUAUGGAGGAACACCAGUGGCGAAGGCGACUUUCUUGGUCUGUACUGACACUGAGGCGCGAAAGCGUGGGGGGCAAACAGGAUUAAAUACCCAGGUAGUCCACGCCGUAACGAU
rnacentral:rRNA from 1 species